UACUGGUGAGGUUUGUCCAAUGGCGGC
rnacentral:piRNA from 1 species